rnacentral:lncRNA from 1 species
UAGUAUUGGGAGAGUUCUAGGAUGCAGGAAGGUUUUGUGAAGAAUGAAGUAUCUAAUCUUGGUCAUCCAGAUUACAAAGAUGUUACACAGGAAUGAAAGCAAGUGGGAGGAAGCAUGUUACAUCCAGGGAAGGCAGAAAUUACAUCAGGCUUCCACAAGAAGAGCAGGUGACUGCAGCAUGACAGCUGAAGUCAAAGUAAACAGA